rnacentral:ribozyme from 13 species
AAGGGCGCGGGUAAGGGUGAAGGGGUGCGGUAAGGGUGAAGGGGUGCGGGUGGAGGGUGAAGGGGUUG